rnacentral:rRNA from 1 species
UACGGAGGGUGCAAGCGUUGUCCGGAUUUAUUGGGUUUAAAGGGUGCGUAGGCGGCCCUUCAAGUCGGGUGUGAAAGCCCUCGGCUCAACCGAGGAACUGCGCCCGAUACUGUGGGGCUUGAGGGAGACAGAGGUAAGCGGAACUGAUGGUGGAGCGGUGAAAUGCGUUGAUAUCAUCAGGAACACCAGUGGCGAAAGCGGCUUACUGGGUCUCUUCUGACGCUGAGAUACGAAAGCUAGGGGAGCGAACGGG